CAAAAAAAUUACAAAGCAUUGGAAUAACCGGUUGUGGUAUCAACACCACGACACAUAUUCCUACCAAGAUCCCUAGUUAUGGGUCCGUCACUAAUAGUAACUUCCAUGAACCGAAAAGGUCCAACCCCUAACCAAUUUUUACGCCUAUCACCCCAGGCUACACAGAACGAUAACCAAUCCCGAGUGUCCCGAUACGACCUCGUCACCAACAUCCAGACGAACCACUCCACCCUCUUCCACACCGUGUCCAUAAACCGCCAGACCACGUGCAAGGGAAAUCCACCUUUCCGUUGAUAACCAAACAACAUCGAAAUUGUAACACAUUGUGCCCAGGAGUAACACCAUACAUAUGGCUCCACACCACGACCAAAACCUCAAAACCCUAGCUCAAUUGAGUAGGGACAAUUUAUUUGACCUAACCAAAAACCUGAAACUAAAACUCUAAUAAAAAACUGAAACCUAAUAAAACAAAGUACCAUGCUAUGUUGAACCACUUCCAUCUUCCUCACCAUUGACAACAGACCGACGGCAAACCACCAUGAGUGCAGCCAAGUGAGCACACCCCACCGAAGACACCCAAGCCGAGUACUCUGCCACAACCAGCUUGGGAUCUCAGGCCACCACCAUCCUCCUUGGUUGAAACUCAUUACCGCCCAUUGUGCAAAUCCAUCCCAAAUUGAUCUGAAACCAAUCCGGCCUCCCAUCAAUUCGAGAAUCUCUUUCAAACACUCUAUCCUCCACCCAGCCACACGCCUCAGAGAAAAGACCAGUGCCAUACGAUCCAUGGCCUGCCGCCGCCACGAUUUGGUCACUAAACACCUUCCCGUCGCCGAUAGCCGAGCACCCUUCACCAACGUCUGCGCCGCUGCUUGAGAAAGAUGAAAAAGCCUACACAGCCAAGAGCACCUAAACCCAGAGAAAAAGAAGAAUCCUAGAGCCCUAGGAACCCGUCCGGCAACACCCACCACUCGUCGACGGGGCAGGAAGCCGCCAUCAACACGGGAGCGCCGCCGAACAGGCCUCAACGCCAGCCUCUGUCUUUCCAACCCUAGACCUCUCUCGCCUGUUUUCUCGGAGCAGCAAACAAUUGUAUAGGCGGACUUUGAAGUCUCUAACAAAUAGUAUCUUUAGAGCUUAAAUUUUUUAUAUUUGGCAAUAUGAAUUUCGCGCAAAAUUUUGGACAGCUGGUAUUUGAUUCUGAACAAAUUUUUGUAAUCAAAGAUAACCUCAUCUACCUCCAGUCUGCAAGACUGCGACUCCUAUUCCUUAAAUCCACAUUCUCCGUCGAACACCUCAAUGAUUUUCACCGUCGAACACCUCCACCUUCCAAAUCUUAAUCAUCGAUCAAGGCUGUUUUGUUGCAAUUGUAGCCGAAGGAGGCAAAUCAAAAGAAACCCUCUUGAUCUCGAGCCAAUCCUUCACCAUCAAGUACUACGGGAAAUUGAAGCAGGACAAAAGAAAGAGAGAAGAAAAUGCGAUGAACCUUUUUUGAUUGUUUGUUUAUUUGAUUUUAUUAUGCAAGUCUAUUAGUUUUGCUCUUUUUUUUUUUUUAUGUUUCUCUUGAAGAUUGUUAGUUUGGUUAUUGAAUUUGUAGUGCUAUAGGAAUUGUCGACUGCCGCACCAAUGAGUUUAGGAAUCGACAGGAGAGGAAUACUAGUUUGAAGAAUUUAUGCAGGCGGAUUUGGAACUUGGCUUCCAGAAGAAGCAGAAGCAUAAUCGGAAUGCUAAACAGGGAGCUUGGAUUAUUGAGGGCUCUGAUCGUCACAUAGAUCAUAUGGAAGAGUUUAUGCUCACUUGCAGGGUGUUAGGGGCCGCACUUGUAAUGCCGCAAGCAACCUUGUCCAAGGUCAUUAGUCAAGCCUUUGGUUGGUUUGCUUGCGUGCUAGGGAUGUUUUGGUAAUUUAUAAAUUAUGUAAUUUAUUUUAUUUUAGCAUUUAGUCUCCUCGGCCUUUUUCAUGUUUCCUCCUGUCAUGUUCAUGUAAGGCCGAUAUGCUCUUUGGGGAGGAGUUCCUAGUCGGCAUAGUUUGGACUAGUGAACUAGUAUAGGUACUCACUUGGCUGACUUGCUUACUAGCAAGUGCCGCACGGUCCGCUUUGCGCAUUGCAAAGUUCGGCCCGUGACACAGGGCAAAUGGAAUUGGAGGCCAAGUACUAACAACAAAAACAAGAGCAAACCUUGGCGCCCAACUCUUGCAAAUUCAACAAGAAUUGGCCAUGAAGGCAGAUUCACUACAACAAAUGUGGGCAAAAGCCACACAUGUAUCCCCAAGAAAUUAAUGAAGUGUGGAUAUGGAGCUGAUACUCACUGCUC